rnacentral:rRNA from 1 species
UGCAAGAUCGAGCGGACCGACGGGAGCUUGCUCCCUUAGGUCAGCGGCGGACGGGUGAGUAACACGUGGGUAACCUGCCUGUAAGACUGGGAUAACUCCGGGAAACCGGGGCUAAUACCGGAUGCUUGAUUGAACCGCAUGGUUCAAUUAUAAAAGGUGGCUUUCAGCUACCACUUGCAGAUGGACCCGCGGCGCAUUAGCUAGUUGGUGAGGUAACGGCUCACCAAGGCGACGAUGCGUAGCCGACCUGAGAGGGUGAUCGGCCACACUGGGACUGAGACACGGCCCAGACUCCUACGGGAGGCAGCAGUAGGGAAUCUUCCGCAAUGGACGAAAGUCUGACGGAGCAACGCCGCGUGAGUGAUGAAGGUUUUCGGAUCGUAAAACUCUGUUGUUAGGGAAGAACAAGUACCGUUCGAAUAGGGCGGUACCUUGACGGUACCUAACCAAAAAGCCACGGCUAACUACGUGCCAGCAGCCGCGGUAAUACGUAGGUGGCAAGCGUUGUCCGGAAUUAUUGGGCGUAAAGCGCGCGCAGGCGGUUUCUUAAGUCUGAUGUGAAAGCCCCCGGCUCAACCGGGGAGGGUCAUUGGAAACUGGGGAACUUGAGUGCAGAAGAAGAGAGUGGAAUUCCACGUGUAGCGGUGAAAUGCGUAGAGAUGUGGAGGAACACCAGUGGCGAAAGCGACUCUCUGGUCUGUAACUGACGCUGAGCGCGAAAGCGUGGGGAGCGAACAGGAUUAGAUACCCUGGGUAGUCCACGCCGUAAACGAUGAGUGCUAGUGUUAGAGGGUUCCGCCCUUUAGUGCUGCAGCAACGCAUAGCACUCCGCCUGGGAGUACGUCGCA